AACGAACGCUGGCGGCAGGCUUAACACAUGCAAGUCGAACGCCCCGCAAGGGGAGUGGCAGACGGGUGAGUAACGCGUGGGAAUCUACCCAGUUCUGCGGAACAACAGUUGGAAACGACUGCUAAUACCGCAUACGCCCUACGGGGGAAAGAUUUAUCGGAAUUGGAUGAGCCCGCGUUGGAUUAGCUAGUUGGUGAGGUAAUGGCUCACCAAGGCGACGAUCCAUAGCUGGUCUGAGAGGAUGAUCAGCCACACUGGGACUGAGACACGGCCCAGACUCCUACGGGAGGCAGCAGUGGGGAAUAUUGGACAAUGGGCGCAAGCCUGAUCCAGCCAUGCCGCGUGAGUGAUGAAGGCCUUAGGGUUGUAAAGCUCUUUCAGUGGGGAAGAUAAUGACGGUACCCACAGAAGAAGCCCCGGCUAACUUCGUGCCAGCCGCCGCGGUAAUAC
rnacentral:rRNA from 1 species